UGCGGGGGUGAUUAGUGGCGAACGGGUGAGUAAUACGUGAGUAACCUGCCCUUGACUCUGGGAUAAGCCUGGGAAACCGGGUCUAAUACUGGAUACGACCCCCUGUCGCAUGGUGGGGGGUGGAAAGGGUUUGACUGGUUUUGGAUGGGCUCACGGCCUAUCAGCUUGUUGGUGGGGUAAUGGCUCACCAAGGCGACGACGGGUAGCCGGCCUGAGAGGGUGACCGGCCACACUGGGACUGAGACACGGCCCAGACUCCUACGGGAGGCAGCAGUGGGGAAUAUUGCACAAUGGGCGGAAGCCUGAUGCAGCGACGCCGCGUGAGGGAUGACGGCCUUCGGGUUGUAAACCUCUUUCAGCAGGGAAGAAGCCACAAGUGACGGUACCUGCAGAAGAAGCGCCGGCUAACUACGUGCCAGCAGCCGCGGUAAUACGUAGGGCGCAAGCGUUGUCCGGAAUUAUUGGGCGUAAAGAGCUCGUAGGCGGUUUGUCGCGUCUGCUGUGAAAGCCCGGGGCUCAACCCCGGGUCUGCAGUGGGUACGGGCAGACUAGAGUGCAGUAGGGGAGACUGGAAUUCCUGGUGUAGCGGUGAAAUGCGCAGAUAUCAGGAGGAACACCGAUGGCGAA
rnacentral:rRNA from 1 species